ACCCACUGUAUAAUUUGUUUUCGAAAAAACUUGGGCGUUCGUGUCGAAAAUUAACUUUGAAAAUGCGCGAAAUCGUGCUGCGUCACCGUAUUUUCCACACGAGCCGUCAUGGAUUAAACAAAGGUUAGAUUAUGACGUCAUAGAAUGCGAAUUACCACGUUUGAUUUCUACGUUACAGAUUACGUAAUUUGCUAGUUUUUUGGGGGAUGUGGGUUAAAAGUUAGGGUUGGGGUUUUCCCUAGCAUAAAACACUACGAAAAACAAGAUUAUAACGUCCUGUAACGUUCGUAAUAUGUCACUACUGUGACGUAACAUUCGCUAUUGUGACGUAAUAUAUCGUUAACCUUACGCAAGUCAGGCGAAUUACGGUGACGCAGCAUGUUUUCGCGCAUUUUCAAAGUUAACGUGGUGUGUGAGCCUUUUUCCCUUUUGUCACGAACAGUCUCAACAGUUCUAGAAACUUCCAUUGGUCACAAGCUGUUUCAUCAACCUCACAACUGUCACAACCGAACCGACGAUAAUGCGCGUCUGAACAGGCGUCGAGGUUGGUGAGGAUGCAACGGUGCGAUGAAUUAUCGUACAGCUCGUGCGUUGUG